AUUGAACGCUGGCGGCAGGCCUAACACAUGCAAGUCGAGCGGUAGCACAGGAGAGCUUGCUCUCCGGGUGACGAGCGGCGGACGGGUGAGUAAUGUCUGGGAAACUGCCUGAUGGAGGGGGAUAACUACUGGAAACGGUAGCUAAUACCGCAUAACGUCGCAAGACCAAAGAGGGGGACCUUCGGGCCUCUUGCCAUCAGAUGUGCCCAGAUGGGAUUAGCUAGUAGGUGGGGUCACGGCUCACCUAGGCGACGAUCCCUAGCUGGUCUGAGAGGAUGACCAGCCACACUGGAACUGAGACACGGUCCAGACUCCUACGGGAGGCAGCAGUGGGGAAUAUUGCACAAUGGGCGCAAGCCUGAUGCAGCCAUGCCGCGUGUAUGAAGAAGGCCUUCGGGUUGUAAAGUACUUUCAGCGGGGAGGAAGGUGCUGAGGUUAAUAACCUCAGCAAUUGACGUUACCCGCAGAAGAAGCACCGGCUAACUCCGUGCCAGCAGCCGCGGUAAAAC
rnacentral:rRNA from 1 species